rnacentral:rRNA from 1 species
AGGCGACGAUCCCUAGCUGGUCUGAGAGGAUGACCAGCCACACUGGAACUGAGACACGGUCCAGACUCCUACGGGAGGCAGCAGUGGGGAAUAUUGCACAAUGGGCGCAAGCCUGAUGCAGCCAUGCCGCGUGUAUGAAGAAGGCCUUCGGGUUGUAAAGUACUUUCAGCGGGGAGGAAGGGAGUAAAGUUAAUACCUUUGCUCAUUGACGUUACCCGCAGAAGAAGCACCGGCUAACUCCGUGCCAGCAGCCGCGGUAAUACGGAGGGUGCAAGCGUUAAUCGGAAUUACUGGGCGUAAAGCGCACGCAGGCGGUUUGUUAAGUCAGAUGUGAAAUCCCCGGGCUCAACCUGGGAACUGCAUCUGAUACUGGCAAGCUUGAGUCU